CCUGCAUGGUGAGUUGUCUUUUUGUGUGUGUGCGUGUGUUUUUUUUUUGUCAUCUAGAGUUUUGAGUGCUUUUGCAAAGACGCCUGCCACUGGAACUAUGUUGACUCUGCCGUUCGAGGACGCGCAGGCGAUGUGUGAGCCACGCUUCGGGGCCGGUUACCCCCGCGCAGGUGCGCCCGAGGAUCGACCCUCCCCUCGCCUUCGCCACCUCCGCGCCGACGACGACGACGACGAGGACGAGGACGAGGAGGAGCCUUGCAGGUCCGCCGGGGACGACGCCGCCUCCUCGGACCGGGACUACGAGCAGGACGACAGCGGCCUCCUCCGCAAGAAGCGCGGCCCCCGGAAGAAGAAGGCCACCAAGGAGCCGCGCGACCGCUCCCGGCUGCGGCGGCAGGAGGCCAACGCCCGGGAGAGGAGCCGCAUGCACGGCCUCAACGCCGCCUUGGAGAGCCUCCGCAAAGUGGUGCCCUGCUACUCCAAAACGCAAAAGCUGUCCAAAAUCGAGACCCUGCGCCUGGCCAAGAACUACAUCUGGGCGUUGUCCGAGACCCUGAGCGCCGGGAAGAGACCCGACCUCCUGGCGUUUGUGCAGACCCUCUGCAAAGGAUUAUCGCAGCCCACCACCAACCUGGUGGCCGGCUGCCUGCAGCUCAACGCCCGCAACUUCCUCACCGACCACAACGGGGAGGUGGUGUUCUCCGGGAGGCCUCCGUACGACCCGCUGUACUCCUCCUCCGCCUACCCGGGCUCCGAGGCGAGCGCGCCCGCCGGCCACGGCAGCUCCGGCCCGGCGGACCCGGCCAAGCCCUUCCGCCACUACGGCUACUCCGGCGCCUACGAGCCGGCCUACGCGUCCCCGGAGGCCGGCAGCCCGCACUUCGAGAGCCCGCUGAGUCCGCCCGUCAACCGGAACGGCAUUUUCUCCUUCAAGCACGACGAGCCGCCGGACUACGGCAAGGGGGGCCACCACUACGGGGUGCGCUACUGCGGCGCACCCGGGCGCGCGGCCCUGGCGCACGGCUCCGUGUACAGAGUGGCCCCGGAGGGCCGCUACCCGUACGACCUGCACGUCCGCGGCCAGUCCUUCCAAGCGCAGGGGGAGCUCAACGCCCCCUACCACAAUUAAGAUACAGAAACUCUCAUUUUGACCCCCCGCCCCUUUCCCAAAAAAAAAUAUUCUUCUUCUUUCCCCCUAAGUUAAGUUCAUCAAAAGUCUGCACUUUUGACUCCGAAGCACAACAAACUUUGACAUGUACACACAGAAGUGAAUUGAAAUGUCCAAAGCCACCACAGAAUUCGUUCAAGACGCACGUUUAUACUGAUUUGGGGAUUCUAUUACGAGAGAUUGGGACCGAGCAAUACGAUGGCAAUUAAGCUAUGCAAGGCAAUCGUUAAAAAAAAUAAUAACACAAUGGUCCAAACAUAAAUUGGUCCCCCCCAAAAAAAAAAUGUAAAAAAAAAAUAUUACAAAAUACGUGUGUGUGUGCGUGAGAGAGACUGUGGAGUAAAUAGUGUUCUAAUCAGGUGGAUGUAAAUUAUGAUUAUGUAUUAUUUAUUUAUUUAUUUAUUUGAGCCUAUUUAUUGACAGUGGAUAAUAUAUGAUAGAAUUAUUGUAAAUUUCAAAACAGUGUUAUGUGAAAGAUUUUACGUUGUUAUUGUUGUCAUCCAUUGGCUUGAGAGGGGAUUUAUUAUUACCAUCAUCAUCAUCACGUGUCACAUGUCUCAAAAAGGGGAACCACGUUAAUAUGCAAUGACAUGAUUUUUUUUCCGAGGGACUUUUGACUGCAUUACGUCACAAAUCGGUGAACACAUUCUAACUCUUUAUGGAUCGAAAUCUUCGUGAAGUCGUGUUUGUGUUCUGCGAAAAGCUUGUAUCAUUGGCAGCAGACCAGAAUGAAAUGAAUAAAUAAAUGACCGGGGGGGGGGGAAACCAAAAGGUAUUUAUUUGAUGGAAUUAUUUAUGGAGGGAAAAAAAAUCCAAACAUUUGUUUUGGGAUGAGGGGGAAUUUUUGCACUUCCAGACAGGCUCGUUCCCUGCACUUGGAUGCAAGUUGGAGUUGUUGGAAUGGGGCCACGCAGCACAGAUUGUGCAGCCCAGUCCUCAAGUCUGCAGCAGAACAAAAGGAAGAAAAAAAGAGGCGGAGGAAGGAUGUAUAAAAGGAAAGAUUGAAGGAGAAGGAAGAGAGGGAGGAAAGAAGGAAGGCAGGGAAGGAAAGAUGCAACAAAGGAAAAGGAAGGAGGCAAGGAUUUCAUAAGUAGGAGGGAUGGAGGGAACCUAGGAAGACUGGAAGGAAGUCAGGUUGUAUGAAAGGAAGGAUGAAUGAAUGAUAGGAGGAAGGAAACAAGGAAGGGAAGGAAGGGGGACGGAAGGUAGGAAGGCGUGUCAGUUUCUUGUUCCAAUGUCAAUUUUAGCCUUUGGGAAAUUUUGAAUGAUAUAUCUGUAAAAAAUCAUUUUCAAAUAUGUAUUGUAUUUUGUAAUUGCAAUGCAUUUUGCUUAAUUUUAUUGACAUGCCAUGUGAAUAGCAACAUGUUUUGUGGCCUGAUUAUUCAUUUUUAAAAAACAAAAAAAUGGACACUGAGCGUGUGACUUUGGGACACAUUAUUUCUUUUUAUUUUCUGACUAGGAAACAAAUGCAGCAGUCAAUGUUGGAGUGUUGAUUCGUCUAAAAAAAUAAUAAUAAGUUGGCCACAUAUGUUUUGUGGCCUAGAAAAAAAUAAUAAUAAUAAUAAAAAGUUUUGCGGUGACCAUUUGACCCUGGCACAAAAUCUUUCUAUUUCCAUGUUUUCCUAUGGGAAAACCUGCUUUGAAAUCCUUCCAAAAUGUCAACUCCAAGGUAACCUUUUCCAGAGCCCAAAAUGUAAGGGUAUGUUCCCAAGCUCUAAAAGGUCAAAGCUACAAAUCAAACAUUUGUUUUCAUCGCAAUCUGCAGCCUCCGUACCCUAAAAUGUUGACAAAUGGCGUUCCUUCCUCGUCAACAAAAGUCCUCCAAAUUCCGCGCCAUUCCCAAGCCCCAGAUGGCGACGGUGGCGGGACGGGGACACGUUUCCUCAUUAAAUUCCUAAUAAUCAUUUGGAAUCGGGGAUGGGAGGGGGAGGGGUGUGGUGGCUGUCUUGGAAGUGAGGGGAGUGGAGGGAUUUGGUGGUUUAAUGAGACAGAUUUAAGGAGAUGAACCCCCACCCGCCCCUCCUCCUCCCAAUGUGUGGAUGCACGUGUGAACGAAUGAAACAUAUGAGCGUGUGUUUGUGGGUGUGCGUCAGGUCACGGCGGCGGAACGUUCCCAGGCCAGGAUCUCAUUAAGGUGUCCGAUUGGUGGAUCAGCCCCUCUGGCAUCCGGCCCGAACCCCUUGGAGGAAGCUGCGUCUCUGGGUUGGCGACGCUGGCACGGCCCCGGUUGCGAUGGUGGCGAGCGUUCAUUAUCAUAUUCGGUCAAAUUAGAUAAAUAUGGCGGUGAAGGAUGGCGCUUUGAGAGGGCAGCGCGAGGUGAAACUACGCGCAGAU